rnacentral:lncRNA from 1 species
GUUUUUCUGCACCAGAUGCGCAUUUCGACAAUCAGUGUCUCUUCAGUGAUGCUCGAGGCCAAAAUAUUUCAAAAUCUUAUUUCAAAACUGAAGAGCUAUAAACCAAAUAGGACAAAAGAAUAGCAAAAGCUAGGCAAGGAAUCAGAGCUAUAGAUAGAUAUAGGAAGAUGUGGUGUGAGUGCCAAUGAAUCAACUCUCCAUCCAAAUGACAAUUUAAAAAAAAUAAAAACACUAUAGGUCAAUGUACGGCCUUCAACACGGAGCCUUGGCUCACACCGAACAACAAGCUAUAAAAUGCCCCA